rnacentral:rRNA from 1 species
UACGUAGGGACCAAGCGUUGUUCGGAUUUACUGGGCGUAAAGGGUGCGUAGGCGGCGCGGUAAGUCGGGUGUGAAAUCUCGGAGCUUAACUCCGAAACUGCAUUCGAUACUGCCGUGCUUGAGGACUGGAGAGGAGACUGGAAUUUACGGUGUAGCGGUGAAAUGCGUAGAUAAUCGUAAGGAAGACCAGUGGCGGAAAGGCGGGUCUCUGGACAGUUCCUGACGCUGAGGCACGAAGGCCAGGGGAGCAAACGGG